UGCGGAGGGAUCAUUACACAAAUAUGAAGGCGGGCUGGAAUCUCUCGGGGUUACAGCCUUGCUGAAUUAUUCACCCUUGUCUUUUGCGUACUUCUUGUUUCCUUGGUGGGUUCGCCCACCACUAGGACAAACAUAAACCUUUUGUAAUUGCAAUCAGCGUCAGUAACAAAUUAAUAAUUACAACUUUCAACAACGGAUCUCUUGGUUCUGGCAUCGAUGAAGAACGCAGCGAAAUGCGAUAAGUAGUGUGAAUUGCAGAAUUCAGUGAAUCAUCGAAUCUUUGAACGCACAUUGCGCCCUUUGGUAUUCCAAAGGGCAUGCCUGUUCGAGCGUCAUUUGUACCCUCAAGCUUUGCUUGGUGUUGGGCGUCUUGUCUCUAGCUUUGCUGGAGACUCGCCUUAAAGUAAUUGGCAGCCGGCCUACUGGUUUCGGAGCGCAGCACAAGUCGCACUCUCUAUCAGCAAAGGUCUAGCAUCCAUUAAGCCUUUUUUCAACUUUGACCUCGGAUCAGGUAGGA
rnacentral:rRNA from 1 species